GACGAACGCUGGCGGCGUGCUUAACACAUGCAAGUCGAACGGAAAGGCCCUGCUUUUGUGGGGUGCUCGAGUGGCGAACGGGUGAGUAACACGUGAGUAACAUGCCCUUGACUUUGGGAUAACUUCAGGAAACUGGGGCUAAUACCGGAUAGGAGCUCCUGCUGCAUGGUGGGGGUUGGAAAGUUUCGGCGGUUGGGGAUGGACUCGCGGCUUAUCAGCUUGUUGGUGGGGUAGUGGCUUACCAAGGCUUUGACGGGUAGCCGGCCUGAGAGGGUGACCGGCCACAUUGGGACUGAGAUACGGCCCAGACUCCUACGGGAGGCAGCAGUGGAGAAUAUUGCACAAUGGGCGGAAGCCUGAUGCAGCAACGCCGCGUGCGGGAUGACGGCCUUCGGGUUGUAAACCGCUUUCGCCUGUGACGAAGCGGGAGUGACGGUAAUGGGUAAAGAAGCACCGGCUAACUACGUG
rnacentral:rRNA from 1 species